GUGAUGUAGGUUUGAAAGAUGUGGCCUGCAGAGAGCCCGCACUAUCUCUGCCGCCGCUACUGCUGCCGCCGCUGCUACUGCUGCUGGCAGAGCUGCUGGGAGUGAAAGUCCCCAGUUCGGGAUUCCCAGCUCCACUGCAUCUUCCGUGUCCUGGCCCGCAGGGACUUGCCCACCCCUGGGAACAAAAGCGGACCCACUCGCCCUCUCCUGAAGCCGGAGGAUGAUUCCGGAGAGCUGAGCGGAGAGUGAGGUCCUCAGCUGCUGGAAGCUAUGUCCUUGGCUUUUCUCAGUGACUAUUCCUGAUUCGUGGCCCUGGCAAUCUUGGG